UCCACCUUAGCUCAGUCGGUAGAGCACUCCGCUGUUAACGGAUAGGUCGUAGGUUCGAGCCCUACAGGUGGAGCCA
rnacentral:tRNA from 1 species